rnacentral:lncRNA from 1 species
AUGCUUGAAUCAGGAAAGCACUCCAUUUCGGUCCUUAUUUUUUCUUUCUUUCUUCUUUUUCUUUAUUUGAUAAUAUUAAUUUUAUUUAGGGCUUUAGAAUAUUUAAUUGGGUUGGGCCCAAUCUCCUUUCAAUAUUCACACCCCUGUCCAUUCUUUCAUUCGCCAUUUUUCUAUCUCCUUUUACUUUAGUUUUCGAUUUUCUUUUAUAUAUUUUGUUAUUCCU